rnacentral:tRNA from 1 species
GCCUGGGUGGCUCAGUUGGUUAAGCGUCCGACUUCAGCUCAGGUCAUGAUCUCAUGGUUUGUGGGUUCGAGCCCCACGUCAGGCU